GCAGCAGCCGCGGUAAUACGUAGGGGGCGAGCGUUGUCCGAAGUUACUGGGCGUAAAGAGCGCGUAGGCGGCCUUUUAAGUGACUGGUGAAAUCCCCGGGCUCAACCCGGGAGGGUCUGGUCAUACUGGGAGGCUAGAGUGUGGGAGAGGAAAGCGGAACUCCAGGUGUAGCGGUGAUAUGCGUAGAUAUCUGGAAGAACACCCGUGGCGAAGGCGGCUUUCUGGACCACAACUGACGCUGAGGCGCGAAAGCCAGGGGAGCGAACGGGAUUAGAUACCCCGGUAGUCCUGGCCCUAAACGAUGGAUACUAGGUGUGGGGGGUAUCGACCCCUCCCGCGCCGCAGCUAACGCAAUAAGUAUCCCGCCUGGGGAGUACGGCCGCAAGGUUGAAACUCAAAGGAAUUGACGGGGGCCCGCACA
rnacentral:rRNA from 1 species